CAGCCGCCGCGGUAAUACGGAGGAUCCGAGCGUUAUCCGGAAUUAUUGGGUUUAAAGGGUGCGUAGGCGGAUAGAUAAGUCAGUGGUGAAAGACGGUGGCUCAACCAUCGCAGUGCCGUUGAUACUGUUUAUCUUGAAUAUGGAUGAGGUAGGCGGAAUGUGGCAAGUAGCGGUGAAAUGCAUAGAUAUGCCACAGAACACCGAUUGCGAAGGCAGCUUACCAAGGCAAAAUUGACGCUGAGGCACGAAAGCGUGGGGAUCGAACAGGAUUAGAUACCCCAGUAGUCCCUGUCUCUUAUAC
rnacentral:rRNA from 1 species